rnacentral:rRNA from 1 species
AUGGUCGUUUGUACCUUAUAUUGUGUUCUCUUUCUGUCCUAUCUAUUAAUAUAUACAUGCAGCACUCCUGCAUGGUUUGAAAAAAAGAAGAGAAAUACAAUCGAGACCGAAAAAUUCCCUGGUACCAAUGCUCGUCACCUGUCUCGGCACCACAACAGCAUCCACCAAAGGAAAAAAAUGAAGGAUCACCUCCUCAACGGGCUCGAUGCAGCUCCAUCGCUGAUAUGUAGCUUUGCGGAGCUCCAAGGUGGCUCACCAAAGGCGAAGCCAUUGCCAUUAAACGAAUUAGACAAGGGUAACACCAUGGACAUGCCAUCGAACUCCAGAUCUAGCUCCCCGCACGACUAA